GCAGUGCAUACUGCGGUUGCUAAGGAAAAAAUUUCUAAGUCUCUGACGUUUCGUGGCCUUGUUGUUUACGAUUCGGACUUAGAGAAAAAAUCAACGAGUUCCACCACCAGAGUGGAAGUUCAAUCAGAUGCUUCUUUUUGGGAGAGGAAUUGAAUUAAGUUGUGCUUGUUUUAUUUAUAUGGUAUUAUGAGAUUUCAAAUAGACUAUUUUACGGCAGUGUCCCGCAAACUGGACGUCGUUUGAAGGUUUCAGUGUCGGAACUAAGGAGCAUAACCACUCUAGACUCUACUACUUCCUACUCCCUGGUCGGAAUCAUACGUAAAUUGAACGUCGCCGGCCAUAAACCUUCUGGAAAAUGUUAAUGUUAUCCAAAGGCGGCGUCCAGGAAUGGGUCAAGCUGAGUUUCAAUAUGCCACAGAACGAGCAAUUAGAGGAGCAGAACCGUGGAUCUCACAAGGCUGGCGAACGAGAACGUGCAAAACACAACUGAAACAUUCGUCCGUGACUUGUUAAAGGUUUUUUUUUCCAGAUGAGGAUCCGGAUGAGGAUCUUUUCGGAAAAGAUAUGGCUAAGAAACUUUAAGUGAAGUUCAUUUGGAACCGCCCAACAUAGACAAAUCUAAUUACAAUUCAUCUUGGCAAGUUUAAAUCAACCGCGUCUCAUUUGUCGUAUGUACGAUAGUAUUAAGUAAAAUAAAAAAUGUUCAUGGGUCGUGGAAGAAUA